rnacentral:misc_RNA from 1 species
GAAACAUGUUCCUAUUGUUUAUUUGUGCCUACUUAUGAGGAAGAAGUUAUCCAUAAUCAAAUUACCUUUGAUAUAUGUGAGCAUGAAAAGCAUCUUCACGGAAAAAUGACUUUUAAGGUGAAAGUAGUUUCACAGAUGUCUAACUUCAAAGAAAAAUGACAUCACCUCUACUGCUUCUUUCUGCUCUUAACCUAUAGCUUACCUAAAAGUAGGAUUACACUUUUUCAGUGUGCACUCUACCUGUAUGAGAAACACUGAAAAAGCAAACCUUCACUAGCGACUUGUUUCAGUAGACCAUCUAUCAAGGCUGUGGCAAGGCAAUUUUACUCAUGUUCAAACAUUGCUUGGUUCUGGAAGAAGACAUGCUUUGAACUUUUGCUAUUUUCUUCUCAGCAUGAAAUUCUAAUCUGUUGUGAAUACGAGUUGGUAGGAUUAUGUCUACUUUGUUUCCUUAAAUAGAGUGUUUACUUUUACCUUAGAUUAAUUCUGCAUUGAUUAGUAAAACUAGUGGUCCAUUCUGGAUUAUUUCUAUAGGCUGCAUCUUUUCUAAUCUCCUUCUUCGUUUUAUUUUAGGGGAUCACACUCAAAUAAGAAGGAGCGAUUUUGCAAUAUCAUAGAAGUAACAGUUAAAUUGUUUUCUUAAAAUCCAGUCCAAGAAAUAAAUUCUAGUGGCUAUGAGAAAUCAAUUUCUCUGGAAGUUGCUUCCAAGCAUAUCUUUUAGCUAGAAAGUACAAGCUUUGCUUAUAUUUAGAGAAAGGGAAAAAAAAUCUUAACUUUUACCUACCCUUUCUUUUAUUUUUUUUUU